AUUGAACGCUGGCGGCAGGCCUAACACAUGCAAGUCGAGCGGAGCGGCGGACGGGUGAGUACUGCCUAGGAAUCUGCAUGGUAGUGGGGGAUCCCGUCCGGAAACGGGCGCUAAUACCGCAUAAUAUCAGAUGAGCCUAGGUUGGCUUGGCUGGUUGGUGGGGUAAUGGCCUACCAAGGCGACGAUCCGGAACUGGGCUGAGAGGAUGAUCAGUCACACUGGAACUGAGACACGGCCCAGACUCCUACGGGAGGCAGCAGUAGGGAAGAUUGGACAAUGGGCGAAAGCCUGACCCAGCAAUGCCGCGUGUGUGAAGAAGGUCUUCGGAUUGUAAAGCACUUUAAGUUGGGAGGCGUUACCAACAGAAUAAGCACCGGCUAACUUCGUGCCAGCAGCCGCGGUAAUAC
rnacentral:rRNA from 1 species